AACGAACGCUGGCGGCGUGCCUAACACAUGCAAGUCGUGCGAGAAAGUUCCUUCGGGAGCGAGUAAAGCGGCGCACGGGUGAGUAACACGUAGGUAACCUGCCCCCCAGUCUGGAACAACUAGAGGAAACUCUAGCUAAUGCCGGAUGAGAUCACGAUCCCUUCGGGGGUUGCGGCCAAAGAUGGCCUCUACUUGUAAGCUAUCGCUGAGGGAUGGGCCUGCGGGCCAUUAGCUUGUUGGUGAGGUAACGGCUCACCAAGGCUGUGAUGGCUAGCUGGUCUGAGAGGAUGACCAGCCACACUGGGACUGAGACACGGCCCAGACUCCUACGGGAGGCAGCAGUGGGGGAAUAUUGGUCAAUGGGCGAAAGCCUGAACCAGCAAUGCCGCGUGAGUGAUGAAGGCCUUCGGGUUGUAAAGCUCUGUCAGUGGGAACGGAAUAAGCCGAUAAUACUCGGUGAUGACGGUACCA
rnacentral:rRNA from 1 species